AGUUUGAUCCUGGCUCAGGAUUAACGCUGGCGGCGUGCGUAACACAUGCAAGUCGAACGGUAUUUUGAAAGGAAAAGACUACGGUCUUGGAAAGACAAAAGAGAGUGGCGAACGGGUGAGUAACGCGUGAGCAACCUGCCUUCCACAAAGGGAUAGCUGCCGGAAACGGUAAUUAAUACCAUAUGAAGUUAACGAAUCGCAUGAUAAGGGAACUAAAGAGAAAUCGGUGGAAGAUGGGCUCGCGUCCGAUUAGCUGGUUGGAGAGAUAACAGCUCACCAAGGCGAUGAUCGGUAGCCGGCUUGAGAGAGUGAACGGCCACACUGGAACUGAGAGACGGUCCAGACUCCUACGGGAGGCAGCAGUGGGGAAUUUUGCACAAUGGGGGGAACCCUGAUGCAGCGACGCCGCGUGAGCGAAGAAGGAAUUCGUUUCGUAAAGCUCUGUCCUAUGGAAAGAUAAUGACGGUACCAUAGGAGGAAGUCCCGGCUAACUACGUGCCAGCAGCCGCGGUAAUACGUAGGGGGCGAGCGUUGUCCGGAAUUAUUGGGCGUAAAGGGUACGCAGGCGGUCUAAGAAGUCAGAUGUUAAAGCGUAGGGCUUAACCCUAUAAAGCAUAUGAAACUGAUAGACUUGAGUAAAGGAGAGGAAAGUGGAAUUCCUGGUGUAGCGGUGAAA
rnacentral:rRNA from 1 species